AGAGUUUGAUCCUGGCUCAGGACGAACGCUGGCGGCGUGCCUAAUACAUGCAAGUCGAGCGAGCGGAACUAACAGAUUUACUUCGGUAAUGACGUUAGGAAGGCGAGCGGCGGAUGGGUGAGUAACACGUGGGGAACCUGCCCCAUAGUCUGGGAUACCACUUGGAAACAGGUGCUAAUACCGCGG
rnacentral:rRNA from 1 species